UUAGGUUGUAAGUGUAAUUUUAUUUAAAAGUCUAAACUUAUGAUCAUAUUAAAAUACGCACAUUUCGUAUAUAUACGUGCUCAGUUG